rnacentral:rRNA from 1 species
UACGAAGGGGGCUAACGUUGUUCGGAUUAACUGGGCGUAAAGCGCACGUAGGCGGUUUGUUAAGUCAGAGGUGAAAUCCCGGAGCUCAACUCCGGAACUGCCUUUGAUACUGGCAAGCUAGAGUCCGGAAGAGGUAAGUGGAACUCCUAGUGUAGAGGUGGAAUUCGUAGAUAUUAGGAAGAACACCAGUGGCGAAGGCGGCUUACUGGUCCGGAACUGACGCUGAGGUGCGAAAGCGUGGGGAGCAAACAGG